rnacentral:rRNA from 1 species
UACGUAGGGGUCAAGCGUUGUCCGGAUUUAUUGGGCGUAAAGAGCGUGUAGGCGGCCAGGUAGGUCAGCUGUGAAAACUCGAGGCUCAACCUCGAGACGUCGGUUGAAACCACCUGGCUAGAGUCCGGAAGAGGAGAGUGGAAUUCCUGGUGUAGCGGUGAAAUGCGCAGAUAUCAGGAAGAACACCCGUGGCGAAGGCGGCUCUCUGGGACGGUACUGACGCUGAGACGCGAAAGCUGGGGGAGCAAACAGG